rnacentral:rRNA from 1 species
GGUAGUCCACGCCGUAAACGAUGGAUACUAGCUGUUGGAGGUAUCGACCCCUUCAGUAGCGAAGCUAACGCGUUAAGUAUCCCGCCUGUGGAGUACGGUCGCAAGACUAAAACAUAAAGGAAUUGACGGGGACCCGCACAAGCGGUGGAUUAUGUUCUUUAAUUCGAUGCUAACCGAAGAACCUUACCAGGGUUUGACAUCCCGAGAAUUACUACGAAAGUAGUGAGUGCUUUAUUGAACUCGGUGACAGAUGUUGCAUGGCCGUCGUCAGCUCGUGUCGUGAGAUGUUUGGUUAAG